GUGGGGAAUCUUGCGCAAUGGGCGAAAGCCUGACGCAGCCAUGCCGCGUGAAUGAUGAAGGUCUUAGGAUUGUAAAAUUCUUUCACCGGGGACGAUAAUGACGGUACCCGGAGAAGAAGCCCCGGCUAACUUCGUGCCAGCAGCCGCGGUAAUACGAAGGGGGCUAGCGUUGCUCGGAAUUACUGGGCGUAAAGGGAGCGUAGGCGGACAUUUAAGUCAGGGGUGAAAUCCCGGGGCUCAACCUCGGAAUUGCCUUUGAUACUGGGUGUCUUGAGUAUGAGAGAGGUGUGUGGAACUCCGAGUGUAGAGGUGAAAUUCGUAGAUAUUCGGAAGAACACCAGUGGCGAAGGCGACACACUGGCUCAUUACUGACGCUGAGGCUCGAAAGCGUGGGGAGCAAACAGGAUUAGAAACCCUAGUAGUCC
rnacentral:rRNA from 1 species